CUACAUCAGUCAUCACAUUACACUUCUAACACAGCACUUUUAUAUCGUGCCCCUUUUUGAGUUGAGAGUGUGGAACUUGUGUGACUGUUUUGUAUAAUAUUUAGCAACUAUAACUUAAAACUUGUGACGGCAAAUACCGUUUUUUAAAAUGUUGAUCUCAAUAUGAUCAUUGAAAUCGCGUUUACAAAUGAGCAUAGUCAAAACGCGUUUACAAAUAGCAUCGGUAAUGGAGGUUUACAUGUGGAAAGUCGGACUUCUAAAUAAGUGAAUUGUAUGCAAUGCACGAAAGUAUAAAUGGCGUCGUAAAUAUCUUAUCAACAGUUAUCUGAAGUUUGACCAACAAAACUUGACGAACUAAAAUUAUUUAUUGCCCAGUGCCCAUCCAAAUAUGGAAUGCGUUUGGGCCAAAAAUAUAGUAUCAACAAGUUCUGGGUAAGUCGAAAAUCAGAUAACUGAUAAUAAGUAGGGUGAUAUUCAUAUAAAUGGCUCUCUACUUUAAUUCACAUAUGAAUGGCUUUCUAUACAAAGAGUCUACUCUCACGUGAUUAAUAUCUAGUACACGCACAGCAUGUUUGUAUGUGAAGAGAAAUAAUAGUAAUAAAGAACCAGAGCAAUGUAAAGGGAUUACAACUAAAAAGUAGAGGCGAAAUUAAAAAGUCGAUUAAAACUAGGUUUAUAAUCAGCGAAAUUCUAUAUUUAUACGUUUUAAAAGGUUACAUUGGAUAACAAUUGCAGUCUAACUAAGCAGCAUAAUGGCCUUUUGGGUGUUUGUAUUGUUCACGGGGUUAGCAAACGCUGUGCAAAUACGUUCCAGCCGACGUUUAACAUAUACGAUCAUAAUAUUUGGACGCCAUCUUCGUCAUCUCACUUCACAUCUCCUUGGAUGGUAUAACAUUUCGAAACUACAUAUUUCUAUUUAGAUCUAUCUCAUACCCGAUAUCGGGGGAUUUUAAAUAUUUUAAAACUUUAAACUCAGAAGUGGUGGAAUAUUUUCGGUAUUUCAUAUACGAACAUUGUUAUGAAUUCUUAAUUAGGCAAUUAUCAAAGUAAAAAUAAACUAUUACAUUAUUUUCUUUAGUUAAAAUUUUCUCGAGAUUUUGAAGGCACUGAGAAAGACUGCAGCGCGGUUCUUAUCAACGAUACGUGAGCACUCACAGCAGCUUAUUGUUUAAACGACGGAAAUAUCAGGUUAUAUAUUCCAUUACAAUUUUAAAACGAAAAAUAGUUUUAAGUUUCAUUGCAAAACGUUUUUUUUUUAUUCUAUAACGCGUAUCUCACAGUUCACAUUCAGACAAUGAUUUUGUUUCACAGUCGUCCAAACUUUCCAAUUCCAUCUUCAUCGUGGCAGGUAGCUCAAGGCGGUUAUACGGUAUCAGUGGAAAAUUAUAUAAUUUCCGAAGGUAAGAUGCAACAAUGUAACACUAUGCUGGGGAAUAACAUGGCAUUGUUUCAACUCUUUUAUCGUCAAAUUUGAAAGUAAACUCGUAAGCUGGCACGAGGUGUAUAUGAAACAGAACAUUCGUGUUAUAACGACUGUCCUUUUUCCGGCCACGAGAGGAUAAAGUAAGUUACAUUCACAUUUAUUCAGGUUAUGGGCUAACAGUAUUCAUUACUUCACAUUAACAUAUGCUGUGUAUACGUCCGAUUUACUUUAACGCAAUAUCUAUUACAGGUUACAGAGAGGCGGACGAAAUUGUACCAGUAAAUGACAUUGCUCUUCUACGACUUUCAAAUGCUUUCAACUCUUCAUCAAAUGUUGAGCCGAUAAGUUUGCCGCAGGAUGUGAAAACCGUUUGUCCAGGAGUCCCUCUUUGUCUAGCAGCCUACUGGGAAAACAAAACCGAACCGGCAAGGAGAUUCGGUACUGAAACAAGUAGCGUAAUUUUAAUAUUACUAUCGUACUUAUUGCCGGUCACCCACGCUCCGUGAGUGAUCGCAUCAUAUCCAAAGGAUAUUGGGUGCGACUGUCGAUGCACCUUUAACUGCGUGUGUCCGGCAGUCGCAAAACACGAUAAGUUAUAGUUACGUUGAUUCAUUCAAUUAUAUAAUAUCAUAUUACAAUUCAGGAUGGUGGGGACAAUAUCUUAGCUACAGACCACUUCCCGAAGGAAAGCUGCUAUUUGCACAGGUGAAAAUGUUUUCUUUGGAUUUGUGCAGAGGUUUCUUGCCUGGGAUUGACGAAAGAACUCAUAUCUGCGCAGGCGGGAUAGACACUUGUGGAGCCUACCCCAACUAUCCUUGCUACAGUGUGCGCGGUGGUUCCUUGGCUUGCUAUCGGCCAGACUCCACCUGGUAUCUUGCAGGCAUUGUACCACAAGGUACAGGAUGCCAUGCUGAAUAUCCCGGAGUUUAUACAAAUGUUUACCACUUCCUACCCUGGAUUAAUUCCGCAAUGCAAGGCAACCAGGACCAAAUAAAAUAAACAACCCAGCACCGACCCUUUUAACGAUGACGCAUGAGCUUAUUUAAUGUUAAUUGCUUUAUGAUGCAUGUUUAUUCUAGCAAUGUUACUGUAUUUUUAAUAUAUAUACUCAGAGCAAAUAAACGACCAGUAACUAUAAUGGUAGAAUUGAUAUACACGUUUGCUAAAUGUUGCUGCCUUUGUUUACGCGUUGAGUUUCGAAUUGUCAGCAUCGUUUUUUAGAAAGGGGUCCGCUGUCGCCAUUGUCCGCUUUGAAACAAAAGCUUUAUAUAGGGUGGGGGAAGACGGGACACCUUUAGCACAUAAUAUCCAGAUAUCCUG